rnacentral:rRNA from 1 species
CCUACGGGGUGCAGCAGUGGGGAAUAUUGGGCAAUGGAGGCAACUCUUACCCAGCAAUGCCGCGUGAAUGAAGAAGGUCUUCGGAUUGUAAAGUUCUUUAAUUGGGGACGAAAAAAAUGACGGUACCCAAGGAAUAAGCCCCGGCUAACUACGGGCCAGCAGCCGCGGUAAUACGUAGGGGGCAAGCGUUGUUCGGAAUGACUGGGCGUAAAGGGUGUGUAGGCGGUGUAGCAAGUUAGAUGUGAAAACUCAGGGCUCAACCCUGAGCCUGCAUUUGAAACUGUUUUUCUUGAGUGCUGGAGAGGCAAUCGGAAUUCCGUGUGUAGCGGUGAAAUGCGUAGAUAUACGGAGGAACACCAGUGGCGAAGGCGGAUUGCUGGACAGUAACUGACGCUGAGGCGCGAAAGCGUGGGGAGCAAACAGGAUUAGAUACCCCAGUAGUC